rnacentral:rRNA from 1 species
UGGGGGCAGGCUACACAUGCAGUCGAGCGGUAACAGAUCCAGCUUGCUGGAUGCUGACGAGCGGCGGACGGGUGAGUAAUGCAUAGGAAUCUGCCCGGUAGUGGGGGAUAACCUGGGGAAACCCAGGCUAAUACCGCAUACGUCCUACGGGAGAAAGGGGGCUUCGGCUCCCGCUAUCGGAUGAGCCUAUGUCGGAUUAGCUAGUUGGUGAGGUAACGGCUCACCAAGGCCACGAUCCGUAGCUGGUCUGAGAGGAUGAUCAGCCACAUCGGGACUGAGACACGGCCCGAACUCCUACGGGAGGCAGCAGUGGGGAAUAUUGGACAAUGGGGGGAACCCUGAUCCAGCCAUGCCGCGUGUGUGAAGAAGGCCCUCGGGUUGUAAAGCACUUUCAGCGAGGAAGAACGCCUAGCGGUUAAUACCCGCUAGGAAAGACAUCACUCGCAGAAGAAGCACCGGCUAACUCCGUGCCAGCAGCCGCGGUAAUACGGAGGGUGCAAGCGUUAAUCGGAAUUACUGGGCGUAAAGCGCGCGUAGGUGGCUUGAUAAGCCGGUUGUGAAAGCCCCGGGCUCAACCUGGGAACGGCAUCCGGAACUGUCAAGCUAGAGUGCAGGAGAGGAAGGUAGAAUUCCCGGUGUAGCGGUGAAAUGCGUAGAGAUCGGGAGGAAUACCAGUGGCGAAGGCGGCCUUCUGGACUGACACUGACACUGAGGUGCGAAAGCGUGGGUAGCAAACAGGAUUAGAUACCCUGGUAGUCCACGCCGUAAACGAUGUCGACCAGCCGUUGGGUGCCUAGCGCACUUUGUGGCGAAGUUAACGCGAUAAGUCGACCGCCUGGGGAGUACGGCCGCAAGGUUAAAACUCAAAUGAAUUGACGGGGGCCCGCACAAGCGGUGGAGCAUGUGGUUUAAUUCGAUGCAACGCGAAGAACCUUACCUACUCUUGACAUCCUGCGAAUUCGGUAGAGAUACCUUAGUGCCUUCGGGAACGCAGAGACAGGUGCUGCAUGCUGUCGUCAGCUCGUGUUGUGAAAUGUGGUUAAGUCCCGGUAACGAGCGCAACUCUUGUUCCUAUUUGCAGCGCGUUAUGGCGGAACUUCUAAGGAGACUGCGGUGACAACCGGAGGAAAGUGGGGAACGAACGUCAAGUCAUUCAUGGUC